CCGCAUGCGCGGAGCUGGAGCUGCAGGGGCGGGAGAGUGUCGGGCGCUGGGCCGGCGAGGUUUGUGGGGCGGGUGUUCGUGUCCUGAGGUGCCCUUCUGUUCUAGGGAAGGUGAGGCUGCACUUAGCCCCUGGCGUUAGAAGCGCCUUCCGAGGAGAAGUGUCUUCUUUUCUGUUUUAUUUCGCUGUGUUUUUUUUCCUUCUUCUCCUCAGUAAGCAGCGAGGAUAGGGGUCGUGCCUUGCGGGGAGGCGGGUUGUGACGCCCAGCUCUCCGCUCUGGCACCCUAUUAUCGCUGGGCAGGCCGGCUGACUCACAGCCCUUGCGGGGAGAGCUCCUGGGCAAACACUGCCACUUCAGUCAAUGGCAGGUAUGGAUGCUCAGCACUCCUGAGAGAUGCCACCCAUUCAGAUAAAGUAGCUUUGUUUUAAUAAUUCUAUUUACUGAACUGAAAAUCAGAAGACUGGUAAUUAAUAUUUGUCUUUUAAGAGCUUGAACUUGGAUGUUUUAGCUAGUUUUGCUCUGUGUGUACUUCACGUUGAAUCUUCUGAGGGCUAUGGCAGCUCAUUCUCACCCAGGAGGUCAAAGCCAGUUGCUGCUUCACCAAAGAAGUCAGUAUUCUCCUAACUCUCCCUAUCUGCUUAACUGCAAAACCUUUGAGGAGGAGUUUAAAUAGUCACCAGAGAAGCCUAAGUAGGAUGUGUGCUGACUUUUCAAGCUUUGCCUGUUUCCUGAGGGAAAUGCCACAGCUCUCAAUUCCUGGUAUUAUUCCAAAUGAAGUUUCAAAUGCUGAAGGACAAGUUGAGGUACAAUGAACUGUCACAGUUUCAUCACACCACCAGAUAACAUGCUGUCAUUGUGCUGAAGUAAAGAUGAAAGCAUUUCAGUUCAGAAACCAAUUACCUGAGCAUCUCUGUACGGUAUGUUUUCUAAUUGCUUUAACAUCAACAUUACUGUUUGGAAUUUUGUGAUUAGGAGUAAAAAUUGCUAUUAUUACCAAAUGCAACCUUCCAUAAACCAUUAAGAACAGUGGUGUGUACAUAAGUUCUGGACAUAAUUCCUGUUACACCAUUAAUGCUCUUUCUGCUUAGUUUUUUUUACUCUAUUACCAAUUAUGUUCACUUAGUCUUACAGUAACUCCCUCAGUGUCAAAUAUUUUCCACUAGGAAUAAAAAGAAUGUUUUGUAUUAGGCAUUUUUUUAACAAUGUGAUGCUGAUGUAAAGAAAUAUUCAAACAUGGUAAACAGACAAAAUAUGAACCAACAUUAAAAAGUUAUCCAAACUGUAA